rnacentral:rRNA from 1 species
GAUGAACGCUGGCGGCGUGCCUAAUACAUGCAAGUCGAGCGAACGGACGAGAAGCUUGCUUUUCUGAUGUUAGCGGCGGACGGGUGAGUCACACGUGGAUAACCUACCUAUAAGACUGGGAUAACUUCGGGAAACCGGAGCUAAUACCGGAUAAUAUUUUGCACCGCAUGGUUCAAAAGUGAAAGACGGUCUUGCUGUCACUUAUAGCUGCAUCCGCGCUGCAUUAGCUAGUUGGUAAGGUAACGGCUUACCAAGGCAACGAUGCAUAGCCGACCUGAGAGGGUGAUCGGCCACACUGGAACUGAGACACGGUCCAGACUCCUACGGGAGGCAGCAGUAGGGAAUCUUACGCAAUGGGCGAAAGCCUGACGGAGCAACGCCGCGUGAGUGAUGAAGGUCUUCGGAUCGUAAAACUCUGUUAUUAGGGAAGAACAUAUGUGUAAGUAGCUGUGCACAUCUUGACGGUACCUAAUCAGAAAGCAACGGCUAACUACGUG